UACGUAGGGGGCGAGCGUUGUCCGGAAUUACUGGGCGUAAAGGGCACGUAGGCGGUUCGCUAAGUUGGUUGUGAAAUCCCCGGGCCCAACCUGGGGGGGUCAGCCAAGACUGGCGAGCUUGAGGGAGGCAGAGGGAAGCGGAAUUCCCGGAGUAGUGGUGAAAUGCGUAGAUACCGGGAGGAACACCAGUGGCGAAGGCGGCUUCCUGGGCUUUUCCUGACGCUGAGGUGCGAAGGCGUGGGGAG
rnacentral:rRNA from 1 species